UACACACGUGCUACAAUGGGCGGUACAAAGGGUCGCGAACCCGCGAGGGGGAGCCAAUCCCAAAAAGCCGCUCUCAGUUCGGAUUGCAGGCUGCAACUCGCCUGCAUGAAGCCGGAAUCGCUAGUAAUCGCGGAUCAGCAUGCCGCGGUCGAAUACGUUCCCGGGCCUU
rnacentral:rRNA from 1 species